AGUGAACGCUGGCGGUAGGCCUAACACAUGCAAGUCGAACGGCAGCACAAUAAGAGCUUGCUCUUACGGGUGGCGAGUGGCGGACGGGUGAGGAAUACAUCGGAAUCUACUUUUUCGUGGGGGAUAACGUAGGGAAACUUACGCUAAUACCGCAUACGACCUACGGGUGAAAGCAGGGGAUCUUCGGACCUUGCGCGAUUGAAUGAGCCGAUGUCGGAUUAGCUAGUUGGCGGUGUAAAGGCCCACCAAGGCGACGAUCCGUAGCUGGUCUGAGAGGAUGAUCAGCCACACUGGAACUGAGACACGGUCCAGACUCCUACGGGGGGCAGCAGUGGGGAAUAUUGGACAAUGGGCGCAAGCCUGAUCCAGCCAUACCGCGUGGGUGAAGAAGGCCUUCGGGUUGUAAAGCCCUUUUGUUGGGAAAGAAAAGCAGCAGGUUAAUACCCCGCUGUUCUGACGGUACCCAAAGAAUAAGCACCGGCUAACUUCGUG
rnacentral:rRNA from 1 species